AGAGUUUGAUCCUGGCUCAGGACGAACGCUGGCGGCGUGCCUAAUACAUGCAAGUCGAACGAAGCUUUCUUUCACCGAAUGCUUGCAUUCACCGAAAGAAGCUUAGUGGCGAACGGGUGAGUAACACGUAGGCAACCUGCCCAAAAGAGGGGGAUAACACUUGGAAACAGGUGCUAAUACCGCAUAACCAUGAACACCGCAUGAUGUUCAUGUAAAAGACGGCUUUUGCUGUCACUUUUGGAUGGGCCUGCGGCGUAUUAACUUGUUGGUGGGGUAACGGCCUACCAAGGUGAUGAUACGUAGCCGAACUGAGAGGUUGAUCGGCCACAUUGGGACUGAGACACGGCCCAAACUCCUACGGGAGGCAGCAGUAGGGAAUCUUCCACAAUGGACGAAAGUCUGAUGGAGCAACGCCGCGUGAAUGAAGAAGGCCUUCGGGUCGUAAAAUUCUGUUGUCAGAGAAGAACGUGCGUGAGAGUAACUGUUCACGUAUUGACGGUAUCUGACCAGAAAGCCACGGCUAACUACGUGCCAGCAGCCGCGGUAAUACGUAGGUGGCAAGCGUUGUCCGGAUUUAUUGGGCGUAAAGGGAACGCAGGCGGUCUUUUAAGUCUGAUGUGAAAGCCUUCGGCUUAACCGAAGUAGUGCAUUGGAAACUGGAAGACUUGAGUGCAGAAGAGGAGAGUGGAACUCCAUGUGUAGCGGUGAAAUGCGUAGAUAUAUGGAAGAACACCAGUGGCGAAAGCGGCUCUCUGGUCUGUAACUGACGCUGAGGUUCGAAAGCGUGGGUAGCAAACAGGAUUAGAUACCCUGGUAGUCCACGCCGUAAACGAUGAGUGCUAAGUGUUGGAGGGUUUCCGCCCUUCAGUGCUGCAGCUAACGCAUUAAGCACUCCGCCUGGGGAGUACGGUCGCAAGACUGAAACUCAAAGGAAUUGACGGAAGG
rnacentral:rRNA from 1 species